ACAUGCAGAGAACUUUCCAGAGAUGGAUUGGUGCCUUCGGGAACUCUGACACAGGUGCUGCAUGGCUGUCGUCAGCUCGUGUCGUGAGAUGUUGGGUUAAGUCCGUAACGAGCGCAACCCUUGUCCUUAGUUACCAGCACGUUAUGGUGGGCACUCUAAGGAGACUGCCGGUGACAAACCGGAGGAAGGUGGGGAGUGACGUCAAGUCAUCAUGGCCCUUACGGCCUGGGCUACACACGUGCUACAAUGGUCGGUACAAAGGGUUGCCAAGCCGCGAGGUGGAGCUAAUCCCAUAAAACCGAUCGUAGUCCGGAUCGCAGUCUGCAACUCGACUGCGUGAAGUCGGAAUCGCUAGUAAUCGUGAAUCAGAAUGUCACGGUGAAUACGUUCCCGGGCCUU
rnacentral:rRNA from 1 species